GACGAACGCUGGCGGCGUGCCUAAUACAUGCAAGUCGAGCGAGCUUGCCUAGAUGAAUUUGGUGCUUGCACCAAAUGAAACUAGAUACAAGCGAGCGGCGGACGGGUGAGUAACACGUGGGUAACCUGCCCAAGAGACUGGGAUAACACCUGGAAACAGAUGCUAAUACCGGAUAACAACACUAGACGCAUGUCUAGAGUUUAAAAGAUGGUUCUGCUAUCACUCUUGGAUGGACCUGCGGUGCAUUAGCUAGUUGGUAAGGUAACGGCUUACCAAGGCAAUGAUGCAUAGCCGAGUUGAGAGACUGAUCGGCCACAUUGGGACUGAGACACGGCCCAGACUCCUACGGGAGGCAGCAGUAGGGAAUCUUCCACAAUGGACGCAAGUCUGAUGGAGCAACGCCGCGUGAGUGAAGAAGGGUUUCGGCUCGUAAAGCUCUGUUGGUAGUGAAGAAAGAUAGAGGUAGUAACUGGCCUUUAUUUGACGGUAAUUACUUAGAAAGUCACGGCUAACUACGUGCCAGCAGCCGCGGUAAUACGUAGGUGGCAAGCGUUGUCCGGAUUUAUUGGGCGUAAAGCGAGUGCAGGCGGUUCAAUAAGUCUGAUGUGAAAGCCUUCGGCUCAACCGGAGAAUUGCAUCAGAAACUGUUGAACUUGAGUGCAGAAGAGGAGAGUGGAACUCCAUGUGUAGCGGUGGAAUGCGUAGAUAUAUGGAAGAACACCAGUGGCGAAGGCGGCUCUCUGGUCUGCAACUGACGCUGAGGCUCGAAAGCAUGGGUAGCGAACAGG
rnacentral:rRNA from 1 species